AAUGAACGUUGGCGGCGUGGAUUAGGCAUGCAAGUCGAGCGAGAACCCAGCAAUGGGGGACAGCGGCGAAAGGGACAGUAAUGUGUAGAUUAUCUGCCCUCAGGUCCGGGAUAGCUGCGGGAAACUGCAGGUAAUACCGGAUAACAUCUCCGGAUCAAAGGUGUGAUUCCGCCUGAGGAUGAGUCUACAUCCUAUUAGCUAGUUGGUGGGGUAAUGGCCUACCAAGGCUUUGAUGGGUAGCGGGUGUGAGAGCACGACCCGCGUCAUUGGGACUGAGACACUGCCCAGACACCUACGGGUGGCUGCAGUCGAGAAUCUUCGGCAAUGGGCGCAAGCCUGACCGAGCGACGCCGCGUGCGGGAUGAAGGCCUUCGGGUUGUAAACCGCUGUCAGAGGGGAUGAAAUGCAGGUGGGUUCUCCCAUCUGUUUGACAUAGCCUCAGAGGAAGGACGGGCUAAGUUCGUGCCAGCAGCCGCGGUAAGACGAACCGUCCAAACGUUAUUCGGAAUCACUGGGCUUAAAGGGUGCGUAGGCGGCGCGGAAAGUUGGGUGUGAAAUCCCUCGGCUCAACCGAGGAACUGCGCCCAAAACUGCCGUGC
rnacentral:rRNA from 1 species